ACCCCGACUUCCAGCCCUUCCCCCCCAGCCCCAUCUCCGCCUCCUCCCGGCGGCCUGUGGGAGUUUCCUGAGCUCAGCCCUGGGUGUCUGGGUCCCUGCACCCUCCCGUCCUGGAAGCCCUGACUCCGAGUUUCAUAGGCAGGUGGGAAAACGAAGUGCAGGGAGGCGGCCCAGGGUCACCCCACAGCAGGUGUGGAGCGGGAACUUGGUCUCAGCCCCAACACCCAGGGUGUCCUAUCCGGUUCUCACCUGGACCCACAGUCUCCCGGGCGGCCCACUCAGGAUCACUGCCGGCCCAGGAGCCCAGGGGCUCUGCACAUCUGCCCAGCCCCACAGCGGUCUAGUGUUGGGGUCUUGGCCUGGACCACACGCGUGACUGGCCCUGCUGUCCCCAGGGGACGUCCUGGGCGGGGCUCCCUCUAAUCCUCUGUCUGUUCCUGCUCAUGCUGGCCUGAGCGAAGCUCGACCCCUCACUGCUGUCGGGGACCCGCCUCCAGCAACCCAGCCACAGGGACACGCGUACACACGCAGGCACACGCAGCCACUACAAAGGAACCCAGGCCCAGAAUGAGGGUGGGGUUGUCAUUCUGCCCAGAAGAGGCACAGGGUGGGCUGACAUUCUGGACAACCCCACCCUCCCCGGGCCGCCCGCAGAUGCUGGCCUGAGCACACAGAGGGACAGAGCUUCGGUUUUAUGCAAGCCAAGGGCCCAGGGUGUGGCACCCGGCCUCACCACACCUGCCCCGGUCUGCCAGCUGUGCUUCAGGCCUCCAGCUGCAGCACGCCUCCUCCAGGAAGUCCUCCAGGAAAGACAGUCCCUGCCUGCCAGCUCCAUCAGGCCUGGUAGCCCCAGGCUCUGCGUGAGUCAGCGUGCCAGUGCAGAGGCCAGGCAGGGCGGUCCUGUCUAGAGGUAGUGCGGCCCUCGGUGUGCGUGGGGAGGGCUGCAGUGAGGGGCGGCGGGACUCAGCCAAGUCCUUCCCCUUCUCAUGAACCUGCCUCGGCCCCAACAGCUCAUCAGUCAGCAAAUCCAUGUGGCUAGACCUUCCAGCCUCACCUGGGCUCUGGCCACACCUGCUCAGGUCAAGGUGGUCUCCUCUCUCUGGGACCCGCGCCCACCUCCUCCCAGUAUCAGAGCCCCUGCUGGCAAACAAUCUUUUGAAAAACUUAUGUAGAUCACAGCCCUCCUCCACCAGCUCCCUGGGCCCCCAUCUCACUCCAAUAAAAGUCUCAGUGGC